UACGUAGGGGGCGAGCGUUGUCCGGAAUCAUUGGGCGUAAAGCGCGUGUAGGCGGCUCGUUAAGUCCGGUGUGAAACCUUGGGGCUCAACCCCAAGCCUGCACUGGAUACUGACGAGCUCGAGUCCGGGAGGGGAGAGCGGAAUUCCUAGUGUAGCGGUGAAAUGCGCAGACAUUAGGAAGAACACCGGUGGCGAAGGCGGCUCUCUGGAACGGUACUGACGCUGAGACGCGAAAGCGUGGGGAGCGAACAGG
rnacentral:rRNA from 1 species